rnacentral:rRNA from 1 species
GUGGGGAAUAUUGGACAAUGGGCGCAAGCCUGAUCCAGCAAUGCCGCGUGGGUGAAGAAGGCCUUCGGGUUGUAAAGCCCUUUUGUACGGAAAGAAAUCCUGGUGGUUAAUACCCGCCGGGGAUGACGGUACCGUAAGAAUAAGCACCGGCUAACUUCGUGCCAGCAGCCGCGGUAAUACGAAGGGUGCAAGCGUUAAUCGGAAUUACUGGGCGUAAAGCGUGCGUAGGUGGUUUCUUAAGUCUGUCGUGAAAGCCCUGGGCUCAACCUGGGAAUGGCGAUGGAUACUGGGAGGCUAGAGUGCGGUAGAGGAUGGCGGAAUUCCCGGUGUAGCGGUGAAAUGCGUAGAGAUCGGGAGGAACAUCUGUGGCGAAGGCGGCCAUCUGGACCAGCACUGACACUGAGGCACGAAAGCGUGGGGAGCAAACAGGAUUAGAUACCCCUGUAGUCC